CUUCCAGGAAAAGCCUCUAAGCUUCAGAUUGUAAGGAAUCGUACCCCAAACCGACACAGGUGGUCGGGUAGAGAAUACCAAGGCGCUUGAGAGAACUCGGGUGAAGGAACUAGGCAAAAUGGUACCGUAACUUCGGGAGAAGGUACGCUCUCGACGGUGAAGUCCCUCGCGGAUGGAGCUAUUGAGAGUCGCAGAUACCAGGUGGCUGCAACUGUUUAUUAAAAACACAGCACUGUGCAAAAUCGUAAGAUGACGUAUACGGUGUGACGCCUGCCCGGUGCCGGAAGGUUAAUUGAUGGGGUUAGACUUCGGUCGAAGCUCUUGAUCGAAGCCCCGGUAAACGGCGGCCGUAACUAUAACGGUCCUAAGGUAGCGAAAUUCCUUGUCGGGUAAGUUCCGACCUGCACGAAUGGCGUAAUGAUGGCCACGCUGUCUCCACCCGAGACUCAGUGAAAUUGAAAUCGCUGUGAAGAUGCAGUGUACCCGCGGCUAGACGGAAAGACCCCGUGAACCUUUACUACAGCUUGGCACUGAACAUUGACCCUACAUGUGUAGGAUAGGUGGGAGGCUUUGAAGCACGUACGCCAGUAUGUGUGGAGCCGUCCUUGAAAUACCACCCUUGUAGUGUUGAUGUUCUAACGUCGACCCCUUAUCGGGGUUGCGGACAGUGCCUGGUGGGUAGUUUGACUGGGGCGGUCUCCUCCCAAAGAGUAACGGAGGAGCACGAAGGUGGGCUAAUCACGGUUGGACAUCGUGAGGUUAGUGCAAUGGCAUAAGCCCGCUUGACUGCGAGAAUGACAAUUCGAGCAGGUGCGAAAGCAGGUCAUAGUGAUCCGGUGGUUCUGAAUGGAAGGGCCAUCGCUCAACGGAUAAAAGGUACUCCGGGGAUAACAGGCUGAUACCGCCCAAGAGUUCAUAUCGACGGCGGUGUUUGGCACCUCGAUGUCGGCUCAUCACAUCCUGGGGCUGAAGUCGGUCCCAAGGGUAUGGCUGUUCGCCAUUUAAAGUGGUACGCGAGCUGGGUUUAGAACGUCGUGAGACAGUUCGGUCCCUAUCUGCCGUGGGCGUUGGAAGAUUGAAGGGGGCUGCUCCUAGUACGAGAGGACCGGAGUGGACGAACCUCUGGUGUUCGGGUUGUGUCGCCAGACGCAUUGCCCGGUAGCUAAGUUCGGAAUCGAUAACCGCUGAAAGCAUCUAAGCGGGAAGCGAGCCCUGAGAUGAGUCUUCCCUGAUACUUUAAGUAUCCUAAAGGGUUGUCGGAGACUACGACGUUGAUAGGUCAGGUGUGUAAGUGCUGUGAGGCAUUGAGCUAACUGAUACUAAUUGCCCGUGAGGCUUAACCAU
rnacentral:rRNA from 1 species